GACGAACCGAGCGAACGUUAUUCGGAAUCACUUGGGCUUAAAGGGCGCGUAGGCGGGCCAUCAAGUCAGGGGUGAAAGCCCCCAGCUCAACUGGGGAAGUGCCUCUGAUACUGGUGGCCUCGAGGGAGGUAGGGGCGUGCGGAACUUCCGGUGGAGCGGUGAAAUGCGUAGAUAUCGGAAGGAACACCGGUGGCGAAAGCGGCGCGCUGGACCUCUUCUGACGCUGAGGCGCGAAAGCCAGGGGAGCGAACGGG
rnacentral:rRNA from 1 species